rnacentral:rRNA from 1 species
GACGAACGCUGGCGGCAUGCCUAAUACAUGCAAGUUGAACGAUGAUAUUCUCUGCUUGCUGAGACUUGAAGAGUAGCGAACGGGUGAGUAACACGUGGGGAACCUGCCCAUGAGAGGGGGAUAACAUUCGGAAACGGAUGCUAAUACCGCAUAAUGCUUUGGACCGCCUGGUCCAGAGACGAAAGACGGCUUUUGCUGUCCCUCAUGGUUGGCCCCGCGCCGUAUUAGCUAGUUGGUGAGGUAAUGGCUCACCAAAGCUGUGAUACGUAGCCGACCUGAGAGGGUGAUCGGCCACACUGGGACUGAGACACGGCCCAGACUCCUACGGGAGGCAGCAGUAGGGAAUCUUCCACAAUGGGCGAAAGCCUGAUGGAGCAAUGCCGCGUGAAUGAAGAAGGUCUUCGGAUCGUAAAGUUCUGUUAUUAGAGAAGAACAAGUCAAGGAGUAACUGUCUUGACUUUGACGGUACCUAACCAGAAAGUCACGGCUAACUACGUG